GAGGGGGAGGAGAAGGUGAAGAGGAGGAGAGGAGCAGCAGUGAGGAGUGUAGAGGUGUAAGAGAAGGUGAAGAGGAGGAGAGGAGCAGGAGUGGAGAGGUAUAAGAGAAGGUGAAGAGGAGGAGAGGAGCAGGAGUGAGGAGUGGAGAGGUAUAAGAGAAGGUGAAGAGGAGGAGAGGAGCAGGAGUGGAGAGGUAUAAGAGAAGGUGAAGAGGAGGAGAGGAGCAGGAGUGAGGAGUGGAGAGGUAUAAGAGAAGGUGAAGAGGAGGAGAGGAGCAGGAGUGAGGAGUAGAGAGGUAUAAGAGAAGGUGAAGAGGAGGAGAGGAGCAGGAGUGAGGAGUGGAGAGGUAUAAGAGAAGGUGAAGAGGAGGAGAGGAGCAGGAGUGAGGAGUGGAGAGGUAUAAGAGAAGGUGAAGAGGAGGAGAGGAGCAGGAGUGAGGAGUGGAGAGGUAUAAGAGAAGGUGAAGAGGAGGAGAGGAGCAGGAGUGAGGAGUGGAGAGGUAUAAGAGAAGGUGAAGAGGAGGAGAGGAGCAGGAGUGAGGAGUAGAGAAGUAUAAGAGAAGGUGAAGAGGAGGAGAGGAGCAGGAGUGGAGAGGUAUAAGAGAAGGUGAAGAGGAGGAGAGGAGCAGGAGUGGAGAGGUAUAAGAGAAGGUGAAGAGGAGGAGAGGAGCAGGAGUGAGGAGUGGAGAGGUAUAAGAGAAGGUGAAGAGGAGGAGAGGAACAGGAGUGAGGAGUGGAGAGGUAUAAGAGAAGGUGAAGAGGAGGAGAGGAGCAGGAGUGGAGAGGUAUAAGAGAAGGUGAAGAGGAGGAGAGGAGCAGGAGUGAGGAGUGGAGAGGUAUAAGAGAAGGUGAAGAGGAGGAGAGGAGCAGGAGUGAGGAGUAGAGAGGUAUAAGAGAAGGUGAAGAGGAGGAGAGGAGCAGGAGUGAGGAGUGGAGAGGUAUAAGAGAAGGUGAAGAGGAGGGGAGGAGCAGGAGUGAGGAGUGGAGAGGUAUAAGAGAAUGUGAAGAGGAGGAGAGGAGCAGGAGUGAGGAGUGGAGAGGUAUAAGAGAAGGUGAAGAGGAGGAGAGGAGCAGGAGUGAGGAGUGGAGAGGUAUAAGAGAAGGUGAAGAGGAGGAGAGGAGCAGGAGUGAGGAGUAGAGAAGUAUAAGAGAAGGUGAAGAGGAGGAGAGGAGCAGGAGUGGAGAGGUAUAAGAGAAGGAGAAGAGGAGGAGAGGAGCAGGAGUGAGGAGUGGAGAGGUAUAAGAGAAGGUGAAGAGGAGGAGAGGAGCAGGAGUGGAGAGGUAUAAGAGAAGGUGAAGAGGAGGAGAGGAGCAGGAGUGAGGAGUAGAGAAGUAUAAGAGAAGGUGAAGAGGAGGAGAGGAGCAGGAGUGAGGAGUGGAGAGGUAUAAGAGAAGGUGAAGAGGAGGAGAGGAGCAGGAGUGGAGGUAUAAGAGAAGGUGAAGAGGAGGAGAGGAGCAGGAGUGGAGAGGUAUAAGAGAAGGUGAAGAGGAGGAGAGGAGCAGGAGUGAGGAGUAGAGAAGUAUAAGAGAAGGUGAAGAGGAGGAGAGGAGCAGGAGUGAGGAGUGGAGAGGUAUAAGAGAAGGUGAAGAGGAGGAGAGGAGCAGGAGUGAGGAGUAGAGAAGUAUAAGAGAAGGUGAAGAGGAGGAGAGGAGCAGGAGUGAGGAGUGGAGAGGUAUAAGAGAAGGUGAAGAGGAGGAGAGGAGCAGGAGUGAGGAGUAGAGAAGUAUAAGAGAAGGUGAAGAGGAGGAGAGGAACAGGAGUGAGGAGUGGAGAGGUAUAAGAGAAGGUGAAGAGGAGGAGAGGAGCAGGAGUGAGGAGUAGAGAAGUAUAAGAGAAGGUGAAGAGGAGGAGAGGAGCAGGAGUGAGGAGUAGAGAAGUAUAAGAGAAGGUGAAGAGGAGGAGAGGAACAGGAGUGAGGAGUGGAGAGGUAUAAGAGAAGGUGAAGAGGAGGAGAGGAGCAGGAGUGGAGAGGUAUAAGAGAAGGUGAAGAGGAGGAGAGGAGCAGGAGUGAGGAGUAGAGGAGUAUAAGAGAAGGUGAAGAGGAGGAGAGGAGCAGGAGUGAGGAGUGGAGAGGUAUAAGAGAAGGUGAAGAGGAGGAGAGGAGCAGGAGUGGAGAGGUAUAAGAGAAGGUGAAGAGGAGGAGAGGAGCAGGAGUGAGGAGUAGAGAAGUAUAAGAGAAGGUGAAGAGGAGGAGAGGAGCAGGAGUGAGGAGUGGAGAGGUAUAAGAGAAGGUGAAGAGGAGGAGAGGAGCAGGAGUGAGGAGUGGAAAGGUAUAAGAGAAGGUGAAGAGGAGGAGAGGAGCAGGAGUGAGGAGUGGAGAGGUAUAAGAGAAGGUGAAGAGGAGGAGAGGAGCAGGAGUGAGGAGUAGAGAGGUAUAAGAGAAGGUGAAGAGGAGGAGAGGAGCAGGAGUGAGGAGUGGAGAGGUAUAAGAGAAGGUGAAGAGGAGGAGAGGAACAGAGGGAGUGAGUAAUUACUUAAACAAGCCAGCUUGCCACCCGUCACCUCUCAGAGAAGGAUUGAAAGCCCAAAGUGAACCCAUCACAGCAGAAGUGGCAGCUUCCCCACUGAGCUGACAUCUGGACUAGAGCAGUGUGACUUAGAGGACUACUGAUCUGUACCGUAUCUGCCUACGUGAGUUUUUAGCUCUUGAAGAAUUUAGUCCCUGGUG